rnacentral:rRNA from 1 species
UACGAACGCUGGCGGCGUGCUUAACACAUGCAAGUCGAACGGAAAGGCCCUGCUUUUGUGGGGUGCUCGAGUGGCGAACGGGUGAGUAACACGUGAGUAACCUGCCCUUGACUUUGGGAUAACUUCAGGAAACUGGGGCUAAUACCGGAUAGGAGCUCCUGCUGCAUGGUGGGGGUUGGAAAGUUUCGGCGGUUGGGGAUGGACUCGCGGCUUAUCAGCUUGUUGGUGGGGUAGUGGCUUACCAAGGCUUUGACGGGUAGCCGGCCUGAGAGGGUGACCGGCCACAUUGGGACUGAGAUACGGCCCAGACUCCUACGGGAGGCAGCAGUGGGGAAUAUUGCACAAUGGGCGGAAGCCUGAUGCAGCAACGCCGCGUGCGGGAUGACGGCCUUCGGGUUGUAAACCGCUUUCGACUGUGACGAAGCGUGAGUGACGGUAAUGGGUAAAGAAGCACCGGCUAACUACGUG